GCACUGUUGAGGAGUCCCACAAUAGGACGAAACGGCCGUCAACCAGUGC
rfam:Schistosoma rodhaini strain Burundi genome assembly, scaffold: SROB_scaffold0000909